UGGGGAAUAUUGGACAAUGGGCGCAAGCCUGAUCCAGCAAUGCCGCGUGGGUGAAGAAGGCCUUCGGGUUGUAAAGCCCUUUUGUACGGGAAGAAAUCCUGUCGGUUAAUACCCGGCGGGGAUGACGGUACCGUAAGAAUAAGCACCCGCUAACUUCGUGCCAGCAGCCGCGGUAAUACGAAGGGUGCAAGCGUUAAUCGGAAUUACUGGGCGUAAAGCGUGCGUAGGCGGUGAGUUAAGUCUGUCGUGAAAGCCCUGGGCUCAACCUGGGAAUGGCGAUGGAUACUGGCUCGCUAGAGUGUGAUAGAGGAUGGCGGAAUUCCCGGUGUAGCGGUGAAAUGCGUAGAGAUCGGAAGGAAUACCGGUGGCGAAGGCGUCUUCCUGGACUCUAACUGACACUGAGGCG
rnacentral:rRNA from 1 species